GUGCCAGCAGCCGCGGUAAUACGGAGGGUGCAAGCGUUAUUCGGAAUUACUGGGCGUAAAGGGCGCGUAGGCUGUUUAGUUAGUCUGGUGUGAAAUCCCUCGACUUAAUCGAGGAAGUGCAUUGGAUACUGCUAGACUCGAGUGCUGGAGGGGAGAACGGAAUUCCAGGUGUAGAGGUGAAAUUCGUAGAUAUCUGGAGGAACAACGGAGGCGAAGGCGGUUCUCUGGACAGCAACUGACGCUGAUGCGCGAAAGUGUGGGGAGCAAACAGGAUUAGAUACCCGUGUAGUCC
rnacentral:rRNA from 1 species